UACGAAGGGGGCGAGCGUUGUUCGGAUUUACUGGGCGUAAAGGGCGCGCAGGCGGCGCAUUUUGUCAGGCGUGAAAGCCCCGGGCUUAACCUGGGAACUGCCUUUGAUACUGGAGAGCUUGAGUCCGGAAGAGGUGAGUGGAACUCCGAGUGUAGAGGUGGAAUUCGUAGAUAUUAGGAAGAACACCAGUGGCGAAGGCGGCUCACUGGUCCGGUACUGACGCUGAGGUGCGAAAGCGUGGGGAGCAAACAGG
rnacentral:rRNA from 1 species